GUUUGUUCAUGACCUUGUCUCUGCCAAGAAUGGAAUUAAAUUUUGAAGCUCCUACUGUAGAAUAACAACUUUUCCAAACACUUAUUCAACUAAUUAUCACACCUACACCAAGAUCUAAAGAGUAUAAUAAUCAUCAAAAAGACAGUGAAAGAAAAAGUGUUUGACAUUUCACAUGGGAAAUUUUCAAAGUCAGUGUGCUACAUUCUUGUUAAAGAAAGCCUCAGAUCACAUCACUGUAAAAGAGGACUAUUAUGGGUAAAAAGGAGCAGAAGAGAUUGGAAUCAUCAAGGAUUGAGGAAAUGA
rnacentral:lncRNA from 10 species